rnacentral:rRNA from 1 species
UACAGAGGUGGCGAGCGUUGUUCGGAUUCAUUGGGCGUAAAGGGUCCGUAGGCGGCUUGGAAAGUCGGAUGUGAAAUCCCACGGCUUAACCGUGGAACUGCAUUCGAAACUUCCAAGCUCGAGCCGAAGAGGGGUGAAGGGAAUUCCCGGUGUAAGAGUGAAAUCUGCAGAGAUCGGGAGGAACACCAGUCGCGAAGGCGCUUCACUAGCUUCGUGCUGACGCUCAGGGACGAAAGCCAGGGGAGCAAACAGGAUUAG